UGCUACUUAUUGUUAAACUGCCCUUUUGUACUCUGGUGAUUGUGGGACUGUCUGGACCUUUGCCAGAAAUGGUAAAGGGUAUGUGCUUAGAGCCUGCGAUGCUCUGCCGGCCCCUUCAGACUUCACCUAGACGUGGGUGGAUGGAGCUCCCAAACGUGGGAGACUUCUGUCUGGUGGUCAUUCAGAAAUGGAUGUAUCAUGUUCUGUUUGAGGUCCCACUACACCUUCUGUAUGUUUGAUAUGAUAUCCAGAGCUUUGGUUAUGUGUUUUUGUACAUGCUUUGGAUAAAAAUGAUAUGAAUGCAACGUCAAAGACGACGUUUGAGCUUCUGUUUGGUAUGUGAUAUUGAUAAGCUCCAAAAUGUUUCAUUCAUUGUUGUUAUGCUUCGAAAUGUUCCAUACGCUGUUGAUAUGCUCCGGAACAUUUCAUAUGCCAUUGAUAAGCUCCGAUAUGUUUCAUUUGUUAUUGUUAUGCUCCAAAAUGUUUCAUUCGUUUCUGAUAUGCUCCAAUUACUCUAUGCCCCGUAUGUUAUGAACCAAAUAUGUAUGAUUGAAAGGACAAUUGUGAUUCUGCACCUAAUGAUAUUAUGUCUACGAAUUCGUAUAUUCUGCCUCGUAUUAUGAAACUUUAUAUCUUUGAAAAUUGUCCUAUUUUGAUAUGGAUAUGUUAGUCACUUGCUGAGCUCUAUAUGCUCACCCCGUUUGUUGAUAAAUUUUUUAGGAUAGCGUAUCGCUUGCUUAAAUGUUAAGAUUGGGCUGAGGCAGUGGAAAGUUAGAAGAUUUUGGGCAGAUCUAUGUUAGCAUAUAUGUAUUUGUUGUAUAAGCCACUCUGCAUCUAAUGAAAUGUUGACGAUGAAUCUAAACCUGUGGAUUUUGUGUAAGUUAAAGGAUCCCUCAUGUUUAGGAUUUUGGAAUGUUAAGUUAAAUUCAUG
rnacentral:lncRNA from 1 species